UUGAACGCUGGCGGAAUGCUUUACACAUGCAAGUCGAGCGGCAGCGCGGGGGCAACCCUGGCGGCGAGCGGCGAACGGGUGAGUAACAUAUCGGAACGUACCCAGUAGUGGGGGAUAACUAUCCGAAAGGAUAGCUAAUACCGCAUACGCCCUGAGGGGGAAAGUGGGGGAUCGCAAGACCUCACGUUAUUGGAGCGGCCGAUAUCGGAUUAGCUAGUUGGUGGGGUAAAGGCUCACCAAGGCGGCGAUCAGUAGCUGGUCUGAGAGGAUGAUCAGCCACACUGGAACUGAGACACGGUCCAGACUCCUACGGGAGGCAGCAGUGGGGAAUUUUGGACAAUGGGGGAAACCCUGAUCCAGCCAUUCCGCGUGAGUGAAGAAGGCCUUCGGGUUGUAAAGCUCUUUCAGGAGGGAAGAAACGGUUGCGGCUAAUACCCGCGACUAAUGACGGUACCUUCAGAAGAAGCACCGGCUAACUACGU
rnacentral:rRNA from 1 species